rnacentral:lncRNA from 1 species
GAAAUCCCACUUCCAGCUGGAUGUCUGGAUGAACUACUGAAAGCUGCUGAGUGUCUUGCAGCAGGUGAGCUGUGGCCAGAGCCCAAGGAUGAAGGGGGCUCCCUCUCUGUGACUGGAAGAGGAAGCCUGAGGUGUAGCAGGCCGGCCCCAGAAGUAUGGAAAAAAUGAGGCCAUUUCCAAUCCAGAGGAGACCUUCUAAAGAGUGAUGGAUGGGAGAGUGCUGACAUACUAUGUGAAGCUACUAUUUGGAGUUGGACACGAGUGCAUGUGACCUUGUGCCACAGCGGGAAUGUGAGCUGGAUGACAAAUGGAGAUUUGGACUUGUGAUAAUUGGCCUCUGUGUCAUUGUGUGGAAGACUGACUGGUCCCUUUAUUUCCUGUAGCUUGACUACCACACAAAUUAAUCCAUUCAAAUGUUGGCAAGUGGAGCAGAGUCCCAGGACAGUCUGCAAUCUCUACAGGUACAGAAACACCCCAGUUCAAGGAUCUUCACACCUGGAUUUUAGGCCUACACCUGCAACUACCCCAGGCCAGUUAUCCAGGCAGUGACUUUCUGUACAGCUACAGUCACCUCUGGACACCUGCAGAGACUUUAAAACAUUUCCAGAAGGUCAGGAAUUUUUGGAGACCUUUCUUAUGGCUACGUUGCCUGCAAAGGUGAAUCAAUAAGCUUCUGAACUGACUUAGAAAAUGUUGCAGAGACCCUUGUGAACAGAUAGACCCUCUCCUGCCACUCCAGAUAGAUGUAUCUGGGUCACACACACCUGAUUUAACAACAUCUCAUUAUCUCAGGCACCAAUUUGAUCUUCUACUACUUUGCAGACAUCUCUUCUGCAAACACCAGACAAAUUGAGACAAUGACCUUCCGCAGGACCCAAACCACCUCUUACUGCAGGAAAGAAGAUCCAGUGAGAUAGUUAGUCCACAAAUGGAAUGUAAAUCCAUAAACACACUUAAGUAACAGAAUAAAUUUAGUAUGAGCGUUUUUAUGUGGGAGCUCUUGAAAUGGUUGCUGCUCAUAUGUCAGAGACAAUGCAGUUUAAGAAAGGUAGCAGUUCCAAUCCUGGUUUGGCCCAACAGUCACUGCAUUUUUGGUGGGGAAAAGGGAUGUGGGAGGAGAUGGUACAUCUUCAUCUUUUUCUCUGGGUUUUCUGUCAGAAAGGGAUGUUGCUUGCUCCAGUGGCAAAAAAAUGCAGGUCUUCUGCCAGAGUGGGUUACUGAGGGCCAUGGUGGUUCCACCUUGUGGCUGAUACAGAUAGUCCCUUUCUGCUUUUGUUUCUAGCCAAAAAGAUGUUUCUCGCAUCUUAGGUAUGCAGAUUUCAGCAGCUGUUUUUUCUAUAUGGCUAUUUUUUUUUCUUUCACUCUCUCUUUCUCUCUCUUUUUUUUUUUUGGCUUCACUGUGUUGCCAUAGUUUCUUAAAUGGUCCCUUGAACCCUCCCAGAGCUAUUUUGGUUUGUACAUAACUAUCUAUAUAUUUUUUUCUUGGGGGGAGUGUGUAGAGCUAAAGGCCUGGUAUAUCCUGCUCCUGCUCCCGAAAGUGACGUUAUUCCCCCAAGCUAAUAUUCAGGCUUUUAAUUAUUCAUGCUUUCAUCUGUUUAAACAUAAGUAGAAAUUACUUUUUCUCUCCACAUUUAGAUUUGUCUAUCUACUUUAUUGCUAAUAGUGUCUUAGUCAUAGAAUAGAUUAGUUAGAAAAAAGUGUUUUUUGACAUUAUAAAUGAUUCUUUCAAUUUGUGUCUAAAAGUGGAAAAUACUAGAAAGCUUAACAUUUAUUAUUGUAUUCAGACCAGUAUUUCCUCCAGAUGACCUUUAUUACAACAAAGAUAUUUAAUGAAGAUCUCUCUAAUGGUAAAGCUGAUGGCUUGUGCUAUUACAAUAUCCUUCAAAUAAAGUUGACGAUCUGGUGGAAAGAACAACUAAAGCAAGGAUUAGGAAGAAAACAGUUAAUACCUUCAUUUGGUCUCACUCUGCAGUUAAGAGUUUUCAUUGUGUUAAAGGAUUUACUAUACAUUAAGUAAUUUAAUGUUCAUUUAAUAAUAAAUGGAUCCUAUUAAAUAUGAUUUUAAAAUUAUAAUCACA